rnacentral:rRNA from 1 species
GACAGAGGGUGCAAACGUUGUUCGGAAUUACUGGGCGUAAAGCGCGUGUAGGCUGCUCAGAAAGUCGGAUGUGAAAGCCCUGGGCUUAACCUAGGAAGUGCAUUCGAAACUUCUGAGCUUGAGUUCUGGAGAGGAAGGCGGGAUUCUCGGUGUAGAGGUGAAAUUCGUAGAUAUCGAGAGGAACACCGGUGGCGAAGGCGGCCUUCUGGACAGUGACUGACGCUGAGACGCGAAAGCGUGGGGAGCGGACGGG